CAAUGAAAAUCAGCUGGAAAGUUUCGUUUUUGCUUUUCGUCGGUUUCACUUUCCAGCUGCUUGCAAGCCACGAAAAGUUUCUGUUUGCGUUAAACCCGAGCGAUAGGCGGGGAAGAAGGGAGAGGCACAAAGGCAGCCCAGCGGGCGCUCCGGCAGCACUCGCCGAGGUCAUAGAUAUUUGAACGCCUGCGUAUAAAAUUCCAUUUUCUGCUGGAAGAACAUUUACAGUCACCUGAAAAUCAUUCUGAGUAAUAUAAGGACUAGGUAAAGCAAUAUAGUGACCUCUUUGUCUCUUUUCAUGGACUGAUGUGAAUAAAUGGAUUUUUCUAAAAUAAAACAAAAUUAAAUUGAGAUUAUUUACCAGUCUAAAUAGGAUGUGCAGAUUUCAGCUACUUGCAAAUGAUUGACCAAAUGCCCCUGCUUUCAUCCAUUGUAGAACUUCCCAGAAGAAGCCAUGGAGGCAUAAUUUCUUUACUGUCUUGUAUCAGAUAGACAUCCAAGUACUCAUGAAAGGCAUUUAUGAAAUUGAGAUGGUAGCUAAACCCAGUAUAUGAGACAAGAGAAGACAAAUCCAUCAGAGGAUUUGCAGUUUAUUCCCUUAAGAUGUAUAAUUAUUUGUCUGGUAAUGCUCCCUUUGUGUAGCCGUCCUUUCUUCAAUCAAGCAACGGUACCAUCUGUAGGGAAUUCUGAAGAUUUGAUGUAAAUAUUUCAUGUUUGCAUUAAGUUUUAUUAACUCAUAAAAAACAAGCAGCAAUGCAGUGCUUGGAUAAGGAUUGGGCAACUCAUGCUAAUUUUAAAAUCUGGGUCACUUUAAUCAAAUUUACAUUUCUCUCCAUCCUUGUUGGGAAAGUCUCAAAUUCUGAGGUUACAAUAAAAUGGCUGUUCACCACUUCAACACACAGCAGUGUUAACAAACAGUGACCAGCAGGCUUGCACUCCACAUUUACUAUCUGCAAACUGGUUUAUCAUCCAGACUUCAGGUGAAAACACUGCUGGGAACAUUUACCAUGAUCUCUAGGACCAUGAAGACAGAAAUUUGGACUAGACUGUGAAAACCGUAAGGUCAAUAGCUCUGCUGUCUUCUUCCAGAUGAGUAGUAUGUAUGUAAUACAAAACAGUUAAAGAAAUACAGCUAGUGUUUAUUUUCUAAAACAGGUAACAAGUGCAUGAAUAUAGCUCCACCAAAAUGAGCAAGCUAUAAGUUGGCAGCAGCUUUAUGAGAAUCCUAGAAUUACAUAAUAUGCCACAUUGGAGGGAACUCACAAAGAUUAUCAAAGUCCACCUCCUGGUUCCACACAGGAGCACCCAGCAUUCAAGUCCUAUUUCUGAGAGCACUGUUCAAAUGCUCCUUGAACCCCAGCAACUUGGGGCCCUGCCCACUGCCCUGGGCAGCCUGUUCCAUGCCCACUGCCCGGCGGUGAAGAACCUUUCCCUGGCAUCUACCUGACCUUCCCCUGAUGAAGGACCGUGCCAUUCCUUUGGAUCCUAUCUGAUUAUUGCUACUCGGAUUUCUGAAUAAAGGCACCUUGUUUUACACUCAACAGAAUAAACUGUUUGCCCAGUUUGUACGCAUUCGGUUCCCACUCUUUUUUCCAAGCAAUGUCAUUAGAAACAUGAAAUUAUUAAGGAUGGAGAAGACCAGUAAGAUCAUCUAGUCCAACCGUCAGACUUCAGUACAGAGGACUACUUUUUCAAAAAGUGUUGAUCCAGAUUGUUGUGAGGCAAUUUCCACUUCUCAAUAUCUCAAUAUUUGAGCUGUAGUUUGUUAUUAGAGAUGCUGCUAAUCUUUAGCCCCCUGGAGCAGGUCUUUCCGGCCUAUACCUAACUGCCACCUCCAUAGGCCUAUGUGAGAUUUAUAAUUUCUGAGAAGAGCGUAGACAUAAUUAAACAUUUUUAGGUGCUUUGCUCAUGUGCUAAUAUGACAUUUGUCUCAGAGUGCUGCCUGCUUCCAUCCCGACAUUUGCUACCUGAAUGCAAUUUGGUCAAGAUGAAAUAUACCCAAGAAAUGCCUGCGUUCUCACUGUCUUUCAAGGGAAUUCAUCACAGUUGCUGAUUUAUAGAAGAGCAGUCAGAUGGUUUGCACUGGGAUGAAUUACAGCCAAAAGGGCAACAGGUACAAGAUUAGAUCCUGUGUAGGCUCAUGCAGAGAGACCACAAAGCCUGCCUGCAUCUGGUGUUCUUUCUCUUCUUUGGAGUAGGUAAGC